GGGAGUGUAGCUCAGGGGGAGAGCACUAGACUGAAGAUCUAGGUGUCGAGGGUUCGAGUCCCUCCACUCCCA
rnacentral:tRNA from 1 species